UACGUAGGCAGCAAGCGUUGUUCGGAGUUACUGGGCGUAAAGGGUGUGUAGGCGGUUGUUUAAGUUUGGUGUGAAAUCUCCCGGCUCAACUGGGAGGGUGCGCCGAAUACUGAAUGACUAGAGUGCGGGAGAGGAAAGUGGAAUUCCUGGUGUAGCGGUGAAAUGCGUAGAUAUCAGGAGGAACACCGGUGGUGUAGACGGCUUUCUGGACCGUAACUGACGCUGAGACACGAAAGCGUGGGGAGCGAUCCGG
rnacentral:rRNA from 1 species